CAUAAUUUGUGGAAACUAGUAGGGUUGGCUCGCUCGGCCGACCCUCUUAUUCACGUCAAAAUAAUCUUCUCUCGCUUAUAUUCUCUCGAUGCUGCCUUCUGUUGGCCUUAUCCUUGCCCAGGCGUGGGCUUUUCAAUGGGCGUUCUUAACUGCUGCUGAGUUGGGUUUUCCAAGGCUACUCCGAGAGGAAUUUCAUGGACAAUUCAGCCUCUUGUGCGGGUCUUCUUUGCGGAUUUCAAUCUGAUCAUAUAUACAGAUAAGUAUUCGAUUCAGAUUGCCAUAUGGUUCGGAAGACAAACAGGACUGCAGACUGCAUCACCUCUUUUGCUACUCACAUUGUUUGGACUGAGCCCGACUCUGUUCUCUCACCUUUAUGUAGCCUUCUUUCUAUUGAUGCUGACGGUACAGAACGGUACGUACCAGUAUCAAACAGAACUGGUAUCGUACAGCUA